GAUGAACGCUGGCGGCGUGCCUAAUACAUGCAAGUCGAGCGAACAGAUAAGGAGCUUGCUCCUUUGACGUUAGCGGCGGACGGGUGAGUAACACGUGGGUAACCUACCUAUAAGACUGGGAUAACUUCGGGAAACCGGAGCUAAUACCGGAUAAUAUUUGGAACCGCAUGGUUCUAAAGUGAAAGAUGGUUUUGCUAUCACUUAUAGAUGGACCCGCGCCGUAUUAGCUAGUUGGUAAGGUAACGGCUUACCAAGGCAACGAUACGUAGCCGACCUGAGAGGGUGAUCGGCCACACUGGAACUGAGACACGGUCCAGACUCCUACGGGAGGCAGCAGUAGGGAAUCUUCCGCAAUGGGCGAAAGCCUGACGGAGCAACGCCGCGUGAGUGAUGAAGGGUUUCGGCUCGUAAAACUCUGUUAUUAGGGAAGAACAAACGUUUAAGUAACUGUGCACGUCUUGACGGUACCUAAUCAGAAAGCCACGGCUAACUACGUG
rnacentral:rRNA from 1 species